UCUGCCCCUGUCUGCCCCUGGGGGGGUAAUGUAAUGUAGGGGAUAUUACACACACAAACACACCGCACAAAUACACAUAAAACAACAUAGACAAAGACGCAACCAGAGUUCAACAGGGGUUAGACAGGUUAGGAGAACCAGGUGGUUCAGAGUUCAACAGGGUUAGACAGGUUAGGAGAACCAGGUGGUUCAGAGGUCAACAGGGUUAGACAGGUUAGGAGAACCAGGUGGUUCAGAGGUCAACAGGGUUAGACAGGUUAGGAGAACCAGGUGGUUCAGAGGUCAACAGGGUUAGACAGGUUAGGAGAACCAGGUGGUUCAGAGGUCAACAGGGUUAGACAGGUUAGGAGAACCAGGUGGUUCAGAGGUCAACAGGGUUAGACAGGUUAGGAGAACCAGGUGGUUCAGAGGUCAACAGGGUUAGACAGGUUAGGAGAACCAGGUGGUUCAGAGUUCAACAGGGUUAGACAGGUUAGGAGAACCAGGUGGUUCAGAGUUCAACAGGGUUAGACAGGUUAGGAGAACCAGGUGGUUCAGAGUUCAACAGGGUUAGACAGGUUAGGAGAACCAGGUGGUUCAGAGUUCAACAGGGUUAGACAGGUUAGGAGAACCAGGUGGUUCAGAGUUCAACAGGGUUAGACAGGUUAGGAGAACCAGGUGGUUCAGAGUUCAACAGGGUUAGACAGGUUAGGAGAACCAGGUGGUUCAGAGUUCAACAGGGUUAGACAGGUUAGGAGAACCAGGUGGUUCAGAGUUCAACAGGGUUAGACAGGUUAGGAGAACCAGGUGGUUCAGAGUUCAACAGGGUUAGACAGGUUAGGAGAACCAGGUGGUUCAGAGUUCAACAGGGUUAGACAGGUUAGGAGAA